GAGGAAGGAAGAAGAAACAAAGUGAAGAAAGUUGGAGGUGGACAAAAAAAGGAAAGGAAAUAAAAAUAGAAAAAAGAAUAGAAAGAAAGAAAGAUGAGGGUAAAGAAGGAUGGGGUAAAUAUGAGGAAGAAUUAGGCAACAAAAAGAAUAAAAGAAAGAUGGUAAAGUAAUAAGAAAAAGGAGGGAAGGGGGAAAAAGAAAGAAAGAAAGAAAGAAAGAAAGAAAGAAAGAAAGAAAGAAAGAAAGAAAGAAAGAUUUUGACAUCAUUUGGGCUGUUUAUUAUUGAGGUGUGUUGAUAGUAAACAUCAGUCAGGGUUUGUUCUUUUCUCAGUCGUUCCUCCCAUUAUUAGAUCAUCAUACACAAUCAACACAAUAAUGUGCACUUUUUCUUUUUCUCUGCUCUAUCGUUCCUAUCACUCUAUCCAUAGGAAGAGGAGUAUAAAGUGCAGUAUAAGGACGGUGUGUUGGCUCAGCUGCGGUGACCUUUACACUGUGCGCUCUGUUCACAUGGAAAAUUGGUGGUUGGCAGGAUGGAGGGAUGUGGUGUAACUGCGAUCCUGAUAAUGCUGCAUCCUGAAGGGCUUUAUUUCUUUUCACAAGAAAACAUUUUCACAAAAACUUUUUACAAAAUGCUGACACUGAAGAUUCCUUCCAAAUAAAAAGUUAAUGAAC